AGCACAAAAUUCUCAAACAAGGCGUGAGCCACCAUGCUCGGCCUAAUUUAAUGUCAUUUUAAAAUUAAAUUAAAGAGAUAGGGUCUUGCUCUGUCGCUCAGGCUGGUGUGCAGUGGUGUGAUCACGGUUCACCAUGGCCUCGCCCUCCAGGGUGCAAGCAAUCCUCUCACCUCAGCCUCUCAAGUAGCUGGAACCACAGGUGCUUGCCAUACAGCCCAGCUAAUUUUUAAUUUUAAUUUUAAUUUUUAUAGGGAUGUGGGUCUCAUUAUGUUGCCCAGGCUGGUCUUGAACUCUUGGUCUCAGGAGAUCCUCCUGCCUUAGCCACCCAAAGUUCUGGGGUUGUAGGUUUGAGCCAUCCAGCCCAGCCGGAAACAAACUUACUAAAUAAGUAACUAUGCUUUGAAAAUGCUUCAAAGACUGUAUUUUAAGCUUUAGGCUUCCUAAACUUAAUUCAAGCAGCAUAUUCAUCCCAAGUCAACUUCACUUUUGACAUAUUAGUGUCAUUUUGUAGAGGUACAGUUGUCUGGUCAACAAACAUAGGUUCCGGUUCAGGCUCUACUUAUAAUUAGCUGCGUGACCUUGCACGAAAAAGCUCUUAGAGACUAAAAAGCUCUACAGUUUUUCUAUGUGAAAAAUAAAGAUGACCUUAGCUGGCCUGCUUUCCUGUGAAUGUCU
ensembl:lncRNA novel transcript